AUAUCAUUAAUAACGUCAUUGCAUUUGAACAGGUAUACAUUCAUAGUUCCUUGAGUAGAAAGAUAAAAACUGGAAAGGAAUACCACUUACUGAAUGGUGAAUAUGUACCAGACUAAAAAUGUGCUAUGGUCAUAAUAAAUCCACUCUGGAUCUAAAGGGGAAGUGGUGUGGGGAAAAUGAACAUUUACCAUCUUUCUGUGUAUCAUGCAUACUGACGGAUGUACAGGCUCACUCUCCUGCUGUGUCUCCAUAUUUAUGUUCCUCUGUCUCUGUCUCUCUCUCACACACACACAUAUUUACAUUAAUUCAAUUUUCAUGAAAUACUUGUGGGUUCAGUGCUAACACUCCCGCUUUAUAAAUCAUUCUCAGAUAAGUAAUUUUCUUUCCCAAGAUAAUAAUGAUAUAGACCAG
rnacentral:lncRNA from 1 species